ACAGCGAAUGUUAAAAAGAGGAAGAUGUGUCAGAUUGGACUCGAUAAAAAGUUUGUAAACGAUUAAUCAAACACGUGAACGUGACCGGAUAUACAAAUUUGUCUAAAAUUUAAUGAAUGUAACUUUAUGAAAUUGUAUUCUUGCAUAUGAAUUGCAGUGUGUGUUUGUGUGUGUGCAUGGAAAAGACAACUGCUGGCGACCUCCGGCUUGAACCGGCGCCAAUGCCCCGUCUGUCGAUUAACCAGCAAUCAGUGUGUACGUGAGGCGCCUAGGUGCACUGGGAAGAUCAACAGCUGAUCAGCCGGGAGCAGCAAGCGACACAAGUUACGUGUUCCAGCAAACAAGCGCGGAAUCCAAACAACGUUUUCGAAAAAUACACGACUGGCUGAGCGCGCCGAUAUCUCAAUCCUUGUCGUAAUGCCACUGAGGCACCUGUCGCGUGUUUCGGCGUUUAUAAAUAAAUUCAGCUGAAUAAUGUGUUAUGCAGCAAGAGGAAAUGUCAACGAUAAAGCCCACGACUCGUCGUUUGCAACGCACAAAGAAGCCCCGCAAGCGGAAAUCUCAAUCCGUGCAUGUCCAUAAAUGCAAAUUCUCGCACAUCUCGGCAUGAGUUCCUUAGCGCCUAUUGUGUAUGCAGCGCAUUUGUGUUUCAUAACUGCAUUUGAGUUUCGAUAACAUCUAUUCACAGUAUACAUAUGUAUUUCUUGUGCUUUACAUGUGAAAGGCUUGUACCGAUAAUAUCGUUGCAAUACGAUACACAAUAUCGCAAUAAUUUUGUGCUUCCCAAGUGAAAGGCCUAGCAUCGAUAACCUCAUUACAAUACGAUAUUUAUACCGAUAUGAUCUUUGCAAUGAGUAUGCCACUUUACAGUGAUUCGAUAACAUCAAUUCAUUGUGUUCGCGGCUCAAUCUUACCGGCCGGCAGACUGAUCUGGCAACCAUGUGCCGCUUUACCAGAACAAACAAAAACAAAAACAACAGAAAGCGUAAACUGAAAAGAUGGAAGGAGCCUUGACCAAAGCAGAACAGAUAACAGUUACAUCUAUCGUCUAUCCUCGUCCAAAGCUGUUGAGAACGCUGAUCAAAUGCUAAUGGCUAAUGCCUAAUAGCGGCAGCUAGUGGAUGUCAAAUGGAGUUUUCCGUUCUGUUAACAUGGCUGAGAUCAACCACAAUCUGAUAGUAUUGCAGCAUCUGUAGAGCCAUCUCGGUUCAGCGGCGUUUACCAGGCGUUUAAGAGGCCGUGCCGGGCCAAAAGCUAAGAGAGCGUUUCAUACGACCCAACACGCGCAAUAAAAUAUUCGAAUUGAGGCAAAGCCAAGAGAGCUUUAAUUCUCUUUGAUCAUGAGAAUCGAGCUUUCGCUGAACACUCGAGCUCGCAGCUUUGGCUGAAGUUUUCAAAAUCAAGCGUCUUUUAGUUUUGGAUAACCUUUUAUCUUUCAUACCCUUAACCAAUUGAAUAAGUUUUUUAAGCCGUAAUUUAAAAUUUUGAACGUUGCUUAAAUCUCGAAAAUAAUCGAACCGAAUUUACAUCAAGUCAUCAUAAAUUUAGCUAUACAACACAACUAUUCUCGUUGAAGUUUAAAAUUUAACUAAAUUAGUACCAAACCUUACUAACAACAUUCUCCCUGACAUUUCUCUAAUUAUUUUUUAUCUGCAUCCCGUCUAAUACAGAGUUGUCCCGUUCGGCAAGUCAUUCUUAUCAUUCGGCGUGGGUCUGAGCAUUAUCUAUCUUGGUUGAUCUUUAUAUUCAGUUUUAAUAUGACAUAUGUCUCCAUUGCUUAAAUUUAUUUGUCUAUUAAAAUGAGUCAGGUUUUUAAUUUAAGGUAUAAUCUAGUCGGGCACACCCAACAAGACUGCAGUUUUUGUUUAGCUGGACCAAUAUUAUUGUACUGUUACACUUAUCUUUAUAUUACAUAGACAGCAAUGUUAAAUUGGCCGCACAUGCAGGAAGUUUUCGUAAGAAAUCUGCUACUAUCUACUAUCUUAUAGCUCUAUUAAAAAGUCAUAUAAUUUAAUGUAAGGGUUUAAGCACACAAUGCAUCCGAAUAAUAAGCGAAUCUAAUCGGGUUUCUCUACACACAUUGAUUAUGCAUAUAGCAACAACAAAUACAUUCCUCAACUUAAACUGCAGUUCUUACUAAUAUUAAUUAAAAGAUUACUAUUAUUAAUAAAAUGUUUUGAUUUAUUUCAUUAUUAUUAAAAUAUUUAUUUAACUUGUCUUCAUAUUUCACCUGAACUGGCAUCUGCAUAGAGCAAUUAUUGUGAACAGUUAGUGACAUUAUCUUUUAGGAACUGUAAGUGCAGAAAUUUCUCUAUAUAUAUACUACUUAUACGUAGAUUUAUUUAUAAUAUAUAUAUACAUAGUCACAUAUGCCAGCAGCACAGACGGGCCUCUCAAGGUCUACAUCAUACUUAAACUAAAAAGUUCUGCAGCGCUUCAUACAUAGUGUCUAUGCCAAAUUACCAUAUGAAGCAAUUGACCUCUUUGCAUAUAGAAAUAUUUUCUUUAAUCAAACGCAGCAGCCGAAGAAUUAAUCAAUUAAAAGACG